rnacentral:rRNA from 1 species
GAUGAAUGCUGGCGGCGUGCCUAAUACAUGCAAGUCGAGCGAACGGACGAGAAGCUUGCUUCUCUGAUGUUAGCGGCGGACGGGUGAGUAACACGUGGAUAACCUACCUAUAAGACUGGGAUAACUUCGGGAAACCGGAGCUAAUACCGGAUGAUAUUUUGAACCGCAUGGUUCAAAAGUGAAAGACGGUCUUGCUGUCACUUAUAGAUGGAUCCGCGCUGCAUUAGCUAGUUGGUAAGGUAACGGCUUACCAAGGCAACGAUGCAUAGCCGACCUGAGGGGGUGAUCGGCCACACUGGAACUGAGACACGGUCCAGACUCCUACGGGAGGCAGCAGUAGGGAAUCUUCCGCAAUGGGCGAAAGCCUGACGGAGCAACGCCGCGUGAGUGAUGAAGGUCUUCGGAUCGUAAAACUCUGUUAUUAGGGAAGAACAUAUGUGUAAGUAACUGUGCACAUCUUGACGGUACCUAAUCAGAAAGCCACGGCUAACUACGUG